UACAUAACUUCGUAAAUUCUUCCUUUAAACUAAUCAGGUUUUUGCUAAUUAAUGCUAUGUCAUUAGCAUACGCCACAAGUUGCGACGUCGAUGUUAUAAUUGUACCUUUUAUUUCUGUAGCUCUUGUUGUUCCGUCUAUAGCGUCAUUAAAUAGUGACGUUGAUAGAGAGUCGCCUUAUCGUACUACAGUUGCUAUAUUUUUGGUGAUUCCGUUAUCUGUUAUUAUUGCUGCAGUCGAUCCUUCCAUUGUCAUUUUCGUAAGCUUUAUAAGUUUCAUUGGGAUAUCUAGGUCUUUUAUGUCUUCUAUUAGGUCGAAUCUAGUGCAGAACUAGGUUGAGUGACGUAGAUGAGGAUGCCAUGAUGUGCUUGCUUAUUUCAUUGAAAAUAUUCAACUGAAUUUGACAAAAACAAAUUUUAUAAUAAUCAAACAAAAAA
rnacentral:lncRNA from 1 species